AGAGUUUGAUCCUGGCUCAGAAUGAACGCUGGCGGCAGGCCUAACACAUGCAAGUCGAACGGAUCCUUCGGGAUUAGUGGCGGACGGGUGAGUAACGCGUGGGAACAUACCCUUUGGUUCAGAAUAGCCCCGGGAAACUGGGAGUAAUACUGGAUGUGCUCGUAAGAGGAAAGAUUUAUCGCCAAAGGAUUGGCCCGCGUUGGAUUAGGUAGUUGGUGGGGUAAUGGCCUACCAAGCCGACGAUCCAUAGCUGGUUUGAGAGGAUGAUCAGCCACACUGGGACUGAGACACGGCCCAGACUCCUACGGGAGGCAGCAGUGGGGAAUCUUAGACAAUGGGGGAAACCCUGAUCUAGCCAUGCCGCGUGAUCGAUGAAGGCCUUAGGGUUGUAAAGAUCUUUUAGUUGGGAAGAUAAUGACGGUACCAACAGAAGAAGCCCCGGCUAACUCCGUGCCAGCAGCCGCGGUAAUACGGAGGGGGCUAGCGUUAUUCGGAAUUACUGGGCGUAAAGCGCACGUAGGCGGACUGGAAAGUCAGAGGUGAAAGCCCAGGGCUCAACCUUGGAACUGCCUUUGAAACUCCCAGUCUUGAGGUCGAGAGAGGUAAGUGGAAUUC
rnacentral:rRNA from 1 species